SRRKUCGCCCUUAGAGUUUGAUCCUGGCUCAGAACGAACGCUGGCGGCGUGCUUAACACAUGCAAGUCGAACGUGAUCCAGAGCUUGCUCUGGUGAAAGUGGCGCACGGGUGAGUAACGCGUGGAUAACCUGCCCUGGUAUCUGGGAUAACAUCUCGAAAGGGGUGCUAAUACCGGAUAAGCCUACGGGAUCUUCGGAUUCUGCAGGAAAAGGAGGCCUCUAUUUAUAAGCUACCGUAUCAGGAUGAGUCCGCGUACCAUUAGCUAGUUGGCGGGGUAAUGGCCCACCAAGGCGACGAUCAGUAGCCGGCCUGAGAGGGUGAUCGGCCACACUGGAACUGAGACACGGUCCAGACUCCUACGGGAGGCAGCAGUGGGGAAUUUUGCGCAAUGGACGAAAGUCUGACGCAGCAACGCGGCGUGAGUGAUGAAGGCUUUCGGGUCGUAAAGCUCUGUCAGAGGGGAAGAAAUGAGCCUGGCUAAUAUCCAGGUUUCUUGACGGUACCCUCAAAGGAAGCACCGGCUAACUCCGUGCCAGCAGCCGCGGUAAUAC
rnacentral:rRNA from 1 species